rnacentral:rRNA from 1 species
UACGUAGGGUGCAAGCGUUAAUCGGAAUUACUGGGCGUAAAGCGUGCGCAGGCGGCGCGUUAAGACAGGUGUGAAAGCCCCGAGCUUAACUUGGGAAUUGCGCUUGUGACUGGCGUGCUGGAGUGUGGCAGAGGGAGGUGGAAUUCCACGUGUAGCAGUGAAAUGCGUAGAGAUGUGGAGGAACACCGAUGGCGAAGGCAGCCUCCUGGGAUAACACUGACGCUCAUGCACGAAAGCGUGGGGAGCAAACAGG